rnacentral:rRNA from 1 species
UACGGGGGGGGCAAGCGUUGUUCGGAAUUACUGGGCGUAAAGGGCUUGUAGGUGGCCAACUAAGUCCGACGUGAAAUCCCUAGGCUUAACCUAGGAACUGCGUCGGAUACUGGAUGGCUUGAAUACGGGAGAGGGAUGCGGAAUUCCAGGUGUAGCGGUGAAAUGCGUAGAUAUCUGGAGGAACACCGGUGGCGAAGGCGGCAUCCUGGACCGGUAUUGACACUGAAAAGCGAAAGCCAGGGGAGCAAACGGG